GCUUGGCUUGUUACUUGGCUCCUUAGGAUAGAUGAUAAAAAUGUACCAGAAAAAAAACAUCUACUUGUUACAGCAGGCCCUGUGUCAGGCCCAAUUAUUGCUGCUGGCAGGGCCCCCAGGCCCCUUCUCCUCUCAGCCAUCCAAAGUCCUUCAUGCUCCUGAGAGUCAUAGGAAACUGUUUUCACAGAAAGGGAUGCACAACAGCCUGAUGGAGAUCACACUGAAGUCAAUGACCACCUUUGUGCCUUACUGUUACAGGCAACUGCAAGUUUCUGGCUGACUUGACACCACAAAUAAGAUAUGAAAAAGAAAAAACAAGAGGUCGAGAAUUAAUGAAUUCUUUCUGUGCAACUUCUCAAUAAUCUUUGGAAACUCAUAAGCAAUUGGGAGAAAAACUUUUUAGUUCAUUCCUUUCUCUUUAGAAUUACUCUAAUGCUCUGGACACACUUAGGAUUUGGAUGAUGUCCUCGCCUCAAGCUUCAUGCAGACCAUAGAGCCCCUCCUUUGAAAACUGCUCUGUCUUUUGGACAUUUGUCUUUCUGCUGGCUUUCAUGGGCUUCUACCCAAAGAAAAGUCUGACAAAGCCUGGAGUGAUUGCCACCAAUUACUGGAAAUUUAUGCAGCAACCAAACUGUGUCAGCAAACACCCAUGCAAUAAUUCUU